rnacentral:piRNA from 1 species
UGGUUGCAACAAAAGAAAAAGGAAGAAAAA